UGGGGGAUAUUGCACAAUGGGCGAAAGCCUGAUGCAGCGACGCCGCGUGGGGGAUGAAGGCUUUCGGGUUGUAAACCUCUUUCGCUAUCGAACAAGGCCCGCUUAGGGUGGGUUGAGGGUAGGUGGAGAAGAAGCGCCGGCUAACUACGUGCCAGCAGCCGCGGUAAUACGUAGGGCGCGAGCGUUGUCCGGAAUUAUUGGGCGUAAAGGGCUUGUAGGCGGCUUGUUGCGCCUGCUGUGAAAACGCGGGGCUUAACUUCGCGCGUGCAGUGGGUACGGGCAGGCUUGAGUGUGGUAGGGGUGACUGGAAUUCCAGGUGUAGCGGUGGAAUGCGCAGAUAUCUGGAGGGACACCGAUGGCGAAGGCAGGUCAAUGGGCCAUUACUGACGCUGAGGAGCGAAAGCAUGGGUAGCGAACAGG
rnacentral:rRNA from 1 species